AUUGAACGCUGGCGGCAUGCUUUACACUUGCAAGUCGAACGGCAGCGCGGGCUUCGGCCUGGCGGCGAGUGGCGAACGGGUGAGUAAUACAUCGGAACGUGCCCAGUAGUGGGGGAUAGCUCGGCGAAAGCCGGAUUAAUACCGCAUACGACCUGAGGGUGAAAGCGGGGGAUCUUCGGACCUCGCGCUAUUGGAGCGGCCGAUGGCAGAUUAGCUAGUUGGUGGGGUAAAGGCCUACCAAGGCGACGAUCUGUAGCUGGUCUGAGAGGACGACCAGCCACACUGGGACUGAGACACGGCCCAGACUCCUACGGGAGGCAGCAGUGGGGAAUUUUGGACAAUGGGCGAAAGCCUGAUCCAGCAAUGCCGCGUGUGUGAUGAAGGCCUUCGGGUUGUAAAGCACUUUUGGCGGGAACGAAAAUGACUGUGCCAAUACCACGGUUCGAUGACGGUACCCGCAGAAUAAGCACCGGCUAACUACGUG
rnacentral:rRNA from 1 species